rnacentral:ncRNA from 1 species
GUAUUGUGUGAAAGGAGAGAAGGUUAGCACUCCCCUUGAUAAGGAUGGAAGAGGUCCUAGUGGCCUUUACAACAUAUAUACGCUUAAGGCAUUGACACCUACUCUGUGGCAUCUAACUGUGUUUUUGC